rnacentral:lncRNA from 10 species
UAUCAAACUUUUAGAUUGAGGCUUUUCUUGAAGCAUUGCUUUUGUCCACAUAAAGUUGAAGGGAAAAAGGAAGGAGAGAUUAUCUAAAUACACAAAAUUGAAAGUGAGAGUGGGGGAUAAGAAACUUAAAGAAACUUAAAAUAUUUUGCUUAACUCUGCAAUUACAGAUGCUCCUCAACUUAGGUCUAUGUCUGGGUAACCCCAUCUUAAGUUGAGUUCAGUUGAAGGGUGUACUGAAUGUGUAUGGCUUUUGCACCGUUGUAAAGUCCAAAAAUUGCAAGACAAACCAUUGUAAAUUGAGUACCAUCUGUAAACCUUAACACAAGUCAAAACAUGGAUUUUCUAGGCUUCCUUUACUUUUAAAGAGAUUAUGGUUAUUAUUAUUAUUUUUUUCUUGGCGUUUGAGCCUUGAUUCUUUAGACAAAACCUAGUCUCAUUCAGGAUUGGCUGUAAGUGGAAUUCUGGGACUUAGCAGGAAUGUGAUAAAGCACUUUGUCAUUUGCCGAUAGUAGUCUUGGGUCAAAUUCCGACGACUUAUCACACUUGAAGCCUGAGGAAAGGAGGCAUGCCCUGGUAAUCAGAGUGAACACAUUAUUCCUGGAAACCUAGUUAGAGUUUGGCAAACACCCGGAAAUUCACCUGUGAAUUUUUGCUUCCACAUAGGACUCAAACAAACCUUUAAAAAAAAAAAAAGAGAGACUUGACAUCAUCCUGCCAUUACCAUCAAACACCAUGUAUUGAAUACUUUUAAAUGAUUGUAUAUCUGAACAUUAAACUACUACUUUUCACCCGCU